rnacentral:rRNA from 1 species
UAGGGAAUCUUCCGCAAUGGACGAAAGUCUGACGGAGCAACGCCGCGUGAGUGAUGAAGGUUUUCGGAUCGUAAAACUCUGUUGUUAGGGAAGAACAAGUUGGGUAGUAACUGACCCAACCUUGACGGUACCUAACCAGAAAGCCACGACUAACUACGUGCCAGCAGCCGCGGUAAUACGUAGGUGGCAAGCGUUGUCCGGAAUUAUUGGGCGUAAAGCGCUCGCAGGCGGUCUUUUAAGUCUGAUGUGAAAGCCCACGGCUUAACCGUGGAGGGUCAUUGGAAACUGGAGGACUUGAGUACAGAAGAGGAGAGUGGAAUUCCACGUGUAACGGUGAAAUGCGUAGAGAUGUGGAGGAACACCAGUGGCGAAGGCGACUCUCUGGUCUGUAACUGACGCUGAGGAGCGAAAGCGUGGGUAGCGAACAGG